CGCGUAGGCGGUUUUUUAAGUCAGAUGUGUAAUCCCCGAGCUCAACUUGGGAACUGCAUCUGAGACUGGAAGGCUAGAGUACUGGAGAGGGUGGUAGAAUUCCACGUGUAGCGGUGAAAUGCGUAGAGAUGUGGAGGAAUACCAGUGGCGAAGGCGGCCACCUGGACAGUAACUGACGCUGAGGCGCGAAAGUGUGGGUAGCAAACAGGAUUAGAUACCCUGGUAGUCCACGCUGUAAACGAUGAACACUUGGUGUGGUGGGAGUUGACCCCCGCCGUGCCGGAGCUAACGCGUUAAGUGUUCCGCCUGGGGAGUACGGUCGCAAGGCUGAA
rnacentral:rRNA from 1 species